rnacentral:rRNA from 1 species
UGGUGGAGCGAUUUGUCUGGUUAAUUCCGAUAACGAACGAGACUCUGGCCUAUUAAAUAGUUCGCCGAUUCCGAUCUGUCGGCGUUAACUUCUUAGAGGGACAAGUGGCUUUUAGUCACGCGAGAUUGAGCAAUAACA